rnacentral:rRNA from 1 species
UACGAAGGGGGCGAGCGUUGUUCGGAUUUACUGGGCGUAAAGGGCGCGUAGGCGGCGCUCCAAGUUAGGCGUGAAAGUCCUGGGCUCAACCUGGGAACUGCGCUUAAGACUGGAGUGCUUGAGGAUGGAAGAGGGUCGUGGAAUUCCCAGUGUAGAGGUGAAAUUCGUAGAUAUUGGGAAGAACACCGGUGGCGAAGGCGGCGACCUGGUCCAUUACUGACGCUGAGGCGCGAUAGCGUGGGGAGCAAACAGG